rnacentral:snoRNA from 1 species
CCACCCUGGUUGAUGAAUGAAUAUCCUCGAUGCCCUAGAGUGAAUACCCUUUUUGGUCCUCUCGAUCUGUCCGCAAGGAUGGCGGUAACUACCUCGUGUGGUUGCUGUAUAGAGAGAUGCUACUCUUGAUGAUCUCGGUCCUGAGUGCGGUCUUGCCUUUGGGCGCGCGCUUGGGACGGGCAUUGAUGGACGUCUGACAGG